rnacentral:sRNA from 1 species
GUGGAUGGUGGUGCAACAACAUCACUAAUACAAAUAAGUAAUUAAUAGACUUUGGUUUACAUUGUAAAUACCUAACCGGUUUGUUCCGGGUUAAUUAGGUUAGAUAGGGAAAGUGUAUAUAAUGUCUUGUAUUCACUCUUUAAUAAGAUAACAGAAACAUUUUCCACUUUCGGCUCCUUACAUUUUUCUCUUCUGGAUCUUCUUCUUCCUUAGUAUUGAGCUCUCUUUCUGUUCAUCUCUACUUCUAAUAUGGUAUCAGAGCUAUACGCUUAGCUCGCUUUUCUCUCUGAUUUUGUUGUGCCUUCGAUUUGGUUUCAUAAAAUCCGAAAAUGGUUAAAGCUGUGGUUCGUCGCAACACUCGCAAGACAGGAAGCUCAUCACGCGCAGGAAGCACCUCUCGAGCAGGAAGCUUACCACCCAUUCAGGAA